UUCUUAUCAAGAGAGGCGGAGGGACUGGCCCUGGGAAACCUCGGCAACGGACUCUUCUCAUGGAGAGUGCUGUGCCAAAUCCAGCAAGCGAUAUGCUUGGCAGAUAAGAA
rnacentral:ncRNA from 1 species